rnacentral:lncRNA from 10 species
AGGAAGUGGGAAGAUGACUCCUGGGACCCAUAAUCAUGCAUGAGCAGUUCAGAGCUUCCCAGAAGGGAAGAAGACAAGCUGUAGGGGCAGUAAGAUUUGCACACCUUGGGUCCUGGGACCAUCCUGCUCAGCUGAGUAGAAUACCAAACGAGGGUGUUUCUGAGCUGCACUUCACCUCAGCCAGGCAAUCGACAGGAGAAGCAGCGAGCGAGACCGACAGACUGUCACUGGCAAAAUGAACUGUCACCUCCCAUUUUUCAGAGGCACGGCGGGAUGAAUUGCAGCCUUGAACCUUGCGGCCCGCUGUUGAUUGAGUUCCGCUGUCUUAGAACCCCGUCGAACAAGGCGAGUUCAUUUCAGACUGACGUACCACCGCUUAUCAAUUUAGGAGCCAGUAAAAUUAACCGCUUCGGAGCUGAUUUUCUCGGUCCCCCUGCUUGGAUUCCGCAUGCAGAAAGGUCACCAGAUAAAUCUCUCUGGGUCCUGCUAGCAUGAUAUGCAGCUAGGAGAUGGGGUCUCAGAAGAGGAAGCUGAACCAAACAGCCCACGCCCAAAAAGGUCGCUGAGGCCCUCUUACAGCCACGGAUUGUGGCAGUGGUGUGUGACAAGUCGUGCCUUUGCUAACUCUGCUCUGCCCACAUCAGCAGCAUCUGCUCCCAAGAGAUACUGUGGUUGGGUAGGAUUGGGUGGCUGAGAAUGGAGAUGCUACAGAAGCCCCCGCAGUCUUUCUGCAGAGAUCUCUGUAUAUUCUUCUGCUUUGCAUCCACAGGGCCUUACACAUAGUAGGCACCCGCUAAAUGUCUAUUAAACUGAAUAUGACUUGAUGUAUGCUUUACCAUCAAUCGGUUUGAAAAGUUUAAAAGAAGUUAGCAUGGACAGGGCCCUGGUGGAAAGAAAAAAAAGAAAUGUUUAUCCAGGAAUAUCUUUAUUGUCACCGGACAUUCAUGGGGCCCAGUCCAUGCUAAAAAUCCUCUGGCAACUUGAAGGUCCUUAGAGCACAGCAGGAAGCUCACCAGAACAGAGUUCCUUGUCUCCAGAAGAAAAACUGUCUCAUGCCACAUUCUCCCCUCACACACAUACAGCUUUUUUGCUCAUAAAGCCCUGUCUGAAAAACAAACAAACAAACAAAAAAAACAAAAAACAAACAAACAAAAAAACACUUGCGAAGGUGAAGAUGGCUUCUGACAGGAAAGCUGGUGCUCUCUUCAGUAAGGCAUCAGGUUCUGGAGCCUGGGAAGUCCAAGAUCAACGUACCAGCAGAUUCAGAUGAAGGCGUGUUCUCAGCUUCAUAGGUGGUGCAUUCUUGCUGCUUCUUCACAUGAUGGAAGGAGUGAACAAGCUCCCUUGGGCCUCUUUUACAAAGAUGGCAAAGAAGGAGAGAAGAGAAGAAGUAGCCAGACAUUGGAAAGAAACAGCUUGACUUCAGAGGAAUGGCUUGAUGGUGGGACUUAGGAGAAGUGUACAGCAGGGGACUGCUGGACUCCAUGGGAAGAUCACCUUCCCACUCCAUCCCCCUUCCAGCUCCCCAUCCUGCUGGGAGCCACUUUCAUCAGUAAUAAAAUUCUCCGCAUUCAUCACCCUUCAAUUUUUUCAUGCAACCUUGGUUGCAAGGACUCAGGUGGAGAGACGAAGGAUCAAGCAAUGUGACUGGUAGAAACUGUGUUAUACAAGAAAAUUGUCUACAUUCCUGCCUGGGCAUGGUGGCUCAUGCCUGUAAUCCAGCACUUUGGGAGGCCGAGGUGGGCGAGUCACUUGAGUCAGGAGUUCGAGACCAGCCUGGCCAACAUGGUGAAACCCUGCCUCUACUAAAAAUACAAAAAAUUAGCUGAGCAUGGUGGUGCAUGACUGUAAUCCCAGCUACUUGGGAGGCUGGGUCAGGAGAAUCGCUUUAACUGGGAGGUGGAGGUUGCAGUGAGCCAAGAUCACGCCACUGCACUCCAGAGUGGGAAACAGAGCAAGACUCCACCUCAAAAAGAAGAAGGAGAAGGAGAAGGAGAUUAUCUACAUUCCUGAGGAGGAGAAGUUGUACUUAAACUACCUUGAUCCAACUUCCAGCUUUACAAUCAUUGCCCCCCACCAUGCAUAUAUCAUACAUAUAUACCUGCUAGCAUGAAUACCUGCAUCAUAUCUAGAAUUAAUGGGAAUAGUCAUAGGGCCAAUCUUUCUUAUAUCAAGCAAGCUGAACAAGGGUCCAAGGGAUAAGGCCACAGCUACUUCCUCCUGCUUUAGAACAGAGCUAAAUAAACCUGUUCCUAAGUCUUGUGA